rnacentral:rRNA from 1 species
GGUGGGGACUCUAUCGAGACUGCCGGUGUAAACCGUGAGGAAGGUGGGGAUGACGUCAAAUCAGCACGGCCCUUACAUCCAGGGCUACACACGUGUUACAAUGGCCGGUACAAGGGCAGCUACUCCGCGAGGAGAUGCGAAUCUUAAAAACCGGUCUCAGUUCGGAUCGAAGUCUGCAACCCGACUUCGUGAAGCUGGAUUCGCUAGUAAUCGUAUAUCAGCCAUGAUACGGUGAAUUACGUUCCCGGGCCUU